AACGAACGCUGGCGGCAGGCUUAACACAUGCAAGUCGAACGGGUGCAGCAAUGCAUCAGUGGCAGACGGGUGAGUAACACGUGGGAACCUUCCUAGGGGUACGGAACAACUCAGGGAAACUUGAGCUAAUACCGUAUACGUCCGUGAGGAGAAAGAUUUAUCGCCCUUAGACGGGCCCGCGUCGGAUUAGCUAGUUGGUGGGGUAACGGCCUACCAAGGCGACGAUCCGUAGCUGAUCUUAGAGGAUGAUCAGCCACACUGGGACUGAGACACGGCCCAGACUCCUACGGGAGGCAGCAGUGGGGAAUCUUGGACAAUGGGCGCAAGCCUGAUCCAGCCAUGCCGCGUGAGUGAAGAAGGUCUUCGGAUUGUAAAGCUCUUUUGCCAGGGACGAUAAUGACGGUACCUGGAGAAUAGGCCCCGGCAAACUUCGUGCCAGCCGCCGCAGUAAUAC
rnacentral:rRNA from 1 species